GGAGGGGUGCCCGAGUGGUUUAAGGGAACUGUCUUGAAAACAGUCGUGCACUUAUNGUGUACCGUGGGUUCGAAUCCCACCUCCUCCGCCA
rnacentral:tRNA from 1 species